rnacentral:rRNA from 2 species
CCCCAGGUCAGGCGGGACCACCCGCUGAGUUUAAGCAUAUCAAUAAG